GGCCGCGGGAAUUCGAUUCAGGCCUAACACAUGCAAGUCGAGCGGUAGAGAGAAGUUUGCUUCUCUUGAGAAAAGCGGACGGGUGAGUAAUGCCUAGGAAUCUGCCUGGUAGUGGGGGAUAACGUUCGGAAACGGACGCUAAUACCGCAUACGUCCUACGGGAGAAAGCAGGGGACCUUCGGGCCCUGCGCUAUCAGAUGAGCCUAGGUCGGAUUAGCUAGUUGGUGAGGUAAUGGCUCACCAAGGCGACGAUCCGUAACUGGUCUGAGAGGAUGAUCAGUCACACUGGAACUGAGACACGGUCCAGACUCCUACGGGAGGCAGCAGUGGGGAAUAUUGGACAAUGGGCGAAAGCCUGAU
rnacentral:rRNA from 1 species